CACUUCUAAGGAAGGCAGCAGGCGCGCAAAUUACCCAAUCCUGACUCAGGGAGGUAGUGACAAGAAAUAACAAUAAACCGGCUUAUGCCGGUUUAAUUGGAAUGAGUACAAUUUAAACAUCUUAACGAGGAACAAUUGGAGGGCAAGUCUGGUGCCAGCAGCCGCGGUAAUUCCAGCUCCAAUAGCGUAUACUAAAGUUGUUGCAGUUAAAAAGCUCGUAGUUGGAUUUCUGUGGGGACGGAGCGGCCGGCCGCAACACGCGGUUCGAGCUAGCGCUUUCCCUACAUCCUGCCGCGAACCGUGCUACCAUUAAUUUGGUGGCGCCGGGGAUCGGCUCGAUUACUUUGAGAAAAAUAGAGUGUUCAAAGCAGGCCACAUGCCUUGAAUAAGUUAGCAUGGAAUAAUAACUAAGGACUUCGGUUCUAUUUUGUUGGUGUUCGGGACUGAAGUAAUGAUUGAUAGGGACAGUUGGGGCGGUCUGUAUUCCAAAGCGAGAGGUGAAAUUCUUAGACCUUCGGAAGACAAACAGCUGCGAAAGCGUUCCGCAAGGAUGUUCCCUUUGAUCAAGAACGAAAGUUGGGGGAUCGAAGACGAUCAGAUACCGUCGUAGUCUCAACUAUAAACUAUACCAGCUAAGGAUCGGCCAACGUUAUUUCAAACCGACUUGGUCGGCACCUUAUGAGAAAUCAAAGCAUCUGGGUUCCGGGGGGAGUAUGGUCGCAAGGCUGAAACUUAAAGGAAUUGACGGAAGGGCACCACCAGCCGUGGAGCCUGUGGCUUAAUUUGACUCAACACGGGAAAACUUACCAGGUCCAGACAUAGUAAGGAUUGACAGAUUGAUAGCUCUUUCUUGAUUCUGUGGGUGGUGGUGCAUGGCCGUUCUUAGUUGGUGGAGUGAUUUGUCUGGUUAAUUCCGUUAACGAACGAGACCCCAGCCUGCUAAAUAGCGCGCGUGAGCUUUGCUCGCAGCGAGCUUCUUAGAGGGACUCUGAUGCGCGAUAGCACAUGGAAGUUUGGGGCAAUAACAGGUCUGUGAUGCCCUUAGAUGUUCUGGGCCGCACACGGGCUACACUGGCGCCUGCAACGAGCAUAUCAGCUGGCCCGAGAGGGUCUUGGCUAAUCUUUUGAACCGGCGCCGUGCUUGGGAUUGACCUUUGCAAUUGUUGGUCAUGCAACGAGGAAUGCCUUGUAAACGCGAGUCAUCAGCUCGCAUUGAAUACGUCCCUGCCCUUUGUACACACCGCCCGUCGCUCCUACCGAUGAAUGUUCCGAUGAAAUUUUCGGAGAGCACCUGUGAACUUGGCUCUGCCUUGCGAACGGGAGGCUCAAAGUCACUUAAAUCUGAACAUUUCGAGG
rnacentral:rRNA from 1 species